rnacentral:lncRNA from 1 species
AUCUACCGGAGCGCGAGAGGUAGGGAAGGCAGUCCUAAUGGCGGAGAAUGUACGCUCGCCUUUUGACUACCGGGAGCCACCGACCCUCGACAGCGACGGGGAUGGGAGCAAACCGCCGCCGCCGCGGGGCCGCGUGUGUGGGAGAAAACGGAAGGGGACACCCGUGAAGGUGUGCGACCGAGCGUAUGUAACAGAAGAUGAGGAGGAGGAGAGCAUGUCGGAGCACAGCUACAGCCCUGGCGAUGGCCAGUACCCAGAGGGUGCAGAAGACCGGCUCCCUCCACCUGGAAGUCCGUACUACCUGCCUGAUCCCACUCAGCUCUGUGUGCCUGAGUUAGGGGAGGAGGGGGCAAGUGGUGUCCGAGGACCGGUGCUGUUUCAUCCGCCACCAAACUGCCGGAUUCGAGAAGUCCACUGUGGCACACAGGUGCGGUUGGUUGUCAUAGCAAUCCGAGACAUCGCGAAAGGGGAGGAGAUCACAGUCGACUACAGCCUGACGGACUGGGGCGAGAAUGCAAUGGAAGAAGAGGCUGGCCCCCACCCACUGUCCCUUUCUGUGUCUGAUUACCUCACCCCAUCCUGGUCAUUAUCACCCUCAUCCUCCCCACUCACUCACUCUGAGCCCAGCGACUCUGACCGAGAAGAGGAUGAAGAGGAGGAGGACGACGAUGAUGAAGAUGAUGACGAGGAAGAGGAAAUUGAGGAAAUAAGGGGCCGAAUGCUUCGUCGACGCAAGAAGCGCAAGUUACCCACGGCAGUCAAUGCCAAGAAGAAGACGACUGCACCCACCUCCUCCAGGGGCCCCGGGCGUCCCUGCUCCUCCUUUUCCCGCCCAACACCAGUCGCACCCCCAGCUAGACCUCAAUCUCAGCCCCCUGUCAGCGGCCUGGCACCCCCAACCACCAACAUAAACAAUAAUAUCAACAUAAAUAUUGGCGGCUCAAGUGUCGCCACAGUGACUCGGCGGCAGCACUGCCCGUAUUGCGGGCGCCACUAUCGCUCUCUGGCACGCCAUCUGGAGAAGCACCACGCCAACCAGCCAGAGGUCAGAACAGCCAUGGAGAUGGCGCAUCUCCAGUCGCACAGCUCCUCAAAUGGCAGUGCCACGCACACCCACCCGUCAUCAUCAUCAACCUCUACUGCUCACUCCUUCGCUGUUCCUCAGCCCUCCGCCUCAAACCCUACUCCACCCUCUCUUUUCACCAGGGAGAGGGACUCACCAGCUACCCGCUCGAGCACAGGCACCGUCUCUUUCUCUCUCUCGCUUCCACCAACUUCUUCGACUCAGUCUGCAGCUGCCAAAAAGGGGCCCAGCUUACCACUGCCCGCUACAAAACCUCCUGCACCCCCAAUGGCACCUCGAGUGAAGAGUCCAUCACCACCUCCUGUGUCUACUCCUCGAAGGGGUCGGAGGAUGAAAAAAGAAAAGCUUGAGGAGCAGCAAAAAGUGGAGGUGGAGAGCUUCAGAAAUCAAGAGGACCUGGUUCCUCCUCCUACACCAGAGCCGGACAUCGAUCCAGAUGAAGAUCUGGAGCUGAGUGGGGAAGGAGAAGACGAUGCACCUGAGGAGAAGAAUGGAGAGAUUGCAAGCACACACCAGCAUCACAUGUCUCCGCUGCUCUCCUCCCUCUCGUGUUUGGUUCUUUAUCUCCGCCGCCAGCAGCACUCCUCCUUCCAGUCUUUAACCCGUUCUCCUCACUCAGCUGAGGCCUGGCGCCUGCUCUGCCACUCCAGCCUUUCCUUACUCAUCCUUUACAAUCGCCACCGGGAAUGUGAGGUGGCCAAGCUCACUAUCCAGGACUACCGGAACCGCAUCACCCCUCAAAAUAGUUCCAACAGUAGCUCCCCCUCUGGCAUUGAAGCCCUCCUGUCCCCAUUUGAGCGGCAGGUCCUCUGUCACCUCCCACGGGCUGGUGUCUUAGGCAAGCGUGGUCGAAUCCAGCCCCUCAUUCUCCCGCCCCACUGUGAGUCCUGCCUGGACCUGCUCCUGCGAACCAGCCCCAAUGUAGGUGUCGACCCUGAGAGCCCCUAUGUCUUCUCACGGCCGUACCACUCUCCUGCCACCCCUCUCCGGGGUACAGACCUCCUGAGAAACCUGGCUCGAUCCAGCGGGGCUAAGAACCCUGGAGCGUUGACAGCAACACGAGUGCGGCGACAGGUAGCCAUCCUUACCCAGCUGCUGCUACUGGAGGAAGGUGAGGGUGGAGCAGUCAAGCGGCUGGAGGACUUUUUGGAGCGCGAGUACCAUGUGACCCAGAACUGCUCUUCUAUCAUACGAGAUCCAGCACUGAUGGGUCGUGUGGGUCGUGUUGUUCUUUAUGGAGAGAGGGAAGGCGUGUUGUUCAGAGGGAUGAGCCUGCAGCAGAUCUGCCUUGAGUUGGACGUAAUGUCUGGAAACUCAGCUGAUUCCUUCUCAGAAGAUUCUGAGGCAGAGGAAGAAAAAGAGGAAGUCAAGGAGAAGACGGAGGUGAUAGUGAAAAAGAAGGGACCGGGCCGACCCCCGAGGAAGAAGAGAGCACCAGUUCCUUCCCCCAUUGUCAGCCCACCUAACACCCAUAAGAGGAGAUGCAUUCCACCAAAAUCAGGUAAGCGUGGUGUGCUUAAGCGUCCCUGGUCAGAGGCGGAGCGAGUAGCAGUGGAAACUCACCUUAAGAGAAACCUCAUGGAGCUGCGCGUCCCUGCAAAGGCAGACUGUGAGCGCUGCCUCGAACUCUGCCCCCUGCUGGUCAGCAACCAGCGGGACUGGAGAGCGAUCAAGUUCUACGUACACAACCGAAUCCAACUGCUGAAGAAGCAGGGGAGGAGGGAAAGCGCCGCUGCUGUCAGCUAGAGCAAAACAAAGACCUGGCAGAGGACAGAUUCCAUAAUGUAUAAACCACCAGCAAUCACAGUGAGGAGCAAAACUCAUGGUGGGGUUUCUUUCCUGGGUGCAGUACCUGAUGUGUAGCUGCAUUCCCGGUCAUAAGGGAGUAGUGUAAUAAAAGUGACUAAGCUAAAAAGACA